UAGUGGCGAACGGGUGAGUAACACGUGGGCAAUCUGCCCUUCACUCUGGGACAAGCCCUGGAAACGGGGUCUAAUACCGGAUAACACUCCUGCCUGCAUGGGCGGGGGUUAAAAGCUCCGGCGGUGAAGGAUGAGCCCGCGGCCUAUCAGCUUGUUGGUGGGGUAAUGGCCCACCAAGGCGACGACGGGUAGCCGGCCUGAGAGGGCGACCGGCCACACUGGGACUGAGACACGGCCCAGACUCCUACGGGAGGCAGCAGUGGGGAAUAUUGCACAAUGGGCGAAAGCCUGAUGCAGCGACGCCGCGUGAGGGAUGACGGCCUUCGGGUUGUAAACCUCUUUCAGCAGGGAAGAAGCGAAAGUGACGGUACCUGCAGAAGAAGCGCCGGCUAACUACGUGCCAGCAGCCGCGGUAAUACGUAGGGCNGCAAGCGUUGNCCGGAAUUAUUGGGCGUAAAGAGCUCGUAGGCGGCUUGUCACGUCGGAUGUGGAAAGCCCGAGC
rnacentral:rRNA from 1 species